rnacentral:tRNA from 1 species
GUCGCCAUGGUGAUUACUGACGGUAAAGUGGCAUCACGUAUUGUGACCACUGCACAAGUGAUUGAUAACCAGUGGCG